rnacentral:rRNA from 1 species
AACGAACGCUGGCGGCAUGCCUAACACAUGCAAGUCGAACGAGACCUUCGGGUCUAGUGGCGCACGGGUGCGUCACGCGUGGGAACCUGCCCUUAGGUUCGGAAUAACUCCCCGAAAGGGGUGCUAAUACCGGAUAAUGUCUUCGGACCAAAGAUUUAUCGCCUUUGGAUGGGCCCGCGUUGGAUUAGCUAGUUGGUAGGGUAAAAGCCUACCACGGCGACGAUCCAUAGCUGGUCUGAGAGGAUGAUCAGCCACACUGGGACUGAGACACGGCCCAGACUCCUACGGGAGGCAGCAGUGGGGAAUAUUGGACAAUGGGCGAAAGCCUGAUCCAGCAAUGCCGCGUGAGUGAUGAAGGCCUUAGGGUUGUAAAGCUCUUUUACCCGGGAUGAUAAUGACAGUACCGGAAGAAUAAGCUCCGGCUAACUCCGUG